AAACUUUUAACAACGGAUCUCUUGGUUCUCGCAUCGAUGAAGAACGCAGCGAAACGCGAUAUGUAAUGUGAAUUGCAGAAUUUUGUGAAUCAUCGAAUCUUUGAACGCACAUUGCGCCCUCUGGUAUUCCGGAGGGCAUACCUGUUUGAGCGUCAGUU
rnacentral:rRNA from 2 species